AUUGAACGCUGGCGGAAUGCUUUACACAUGCAAGUCGAGCGGCAGCGCGGGGGCAACCCUGGCGGCGAGCGGCGAACGGGUGAGUAACAUAUCGGAACGUACCCCGUCGUGGGGGAUAACACAGCGAAAGCUGUGCUAAUACCGCAUACGACCUGAGGGUGAAAGCGGGGGAUCGCAAGACCUCGCGCGAUGGGAGCGGCCGAUAUCGGAUUAGCUUGUUGGUGAGGUAAAGGCUCACCAAGGCGACGAUCCGUAGCUGGUCUGAGAGGACGACCAGCCACACUGGAACUGAGACACGGUCCAGACUCCUACGGGAGGCAGCAGUGGGGAAUUUUGGGACAAUGGGGGCAACCCUGAUCCAGCCAUUCCGCGUGAGUGAAGAAGGCC
rnacentral:rRNA from 1 species